AAACUAACUAGGAUGCCUUCAGUAACGGCGAGCGAAGCAGGCAUAGCUCAAAUUUGUAAUCUGGCGUCUUUGACGUCCGAGUUGUAUUUUCUAGAAGCGAGUUCGGCGACAGCUCCUACCCAAGUCCGUUGGAACGCGGCGUCAUGGAGGGUGAGAAUCCCGUGAAUGGUAGGAUGUCUGCUGCUAUGUGAACCGCCUUCGAAGAGUCGAGUUGUUUGGGAAUGCAGCUCUAAAUGGGAGGUAAAUUUCUUCUAAAGCUAAAUAUUGGCCAGAGACCGAUAGCGAACAAGUAGAGUGAUCGAAAGAUGAAAAGAACUUUGAAAAGAGAGUUAAACAGUACGUGAAAUUGUUGAAAGGGAAGCGCUUGAGAUCAGACUUCCUGUCUGGCCUGUCCUUGCUUUUGCUUGGGUCAACAGUCCAGGCGUGGAGGCCAGCAUCAGUUUUGACGGCCGGAUAAAGGCUUUGGGAAGGUAGCUCCUCUCGGGGAGUGUUAUAGCCCAGAGUGUAAUACGGCCAGUUGGGACUGAGGACCGCGGCUUUGCCUAGGAUGCUGGCGUAAUGGUCUUAAGCGAC
rnacentral:rRNA from 1 species